CACGUAGGGACCAAGCGUUGUCCGGAUUUAUUGGGCGUAAAGAGCUCGUAGGCGGUUCGGUAAGUCGGGUGUGAAAACUCUGGGCUCAACUCAGAGAUGCCACCCGAUACUGCCGUGACUUGAGUCCGGUAGGGGAGCACGGAAUUCCUGGUGUAGCGGUGAAAUGCGCAGAUAUCAGGAGGAACACCGGUGGCGAAGGCGGUGCUCUGGGCCGGUACUGACGCUGAGGAGCGAAAGCGUGGGGAGCAAACAGG
rnacentral:rRNA from 1 species